GGAGGAUGCGAGCGUUAUCCGGAUUUAUUGGGUUUAAAGGGUGCGUAGGCGGACCAAUAAGUCAGUGGUGAAAACCUGCAGCUUAACUGUAGACUUGCCGUUGAUACUGUUGGUCUUGAGUAUGGUCAAGGUAGGCGGAAUGUGUAAUGUAGCGGUGAAAUGCUUAGAUAUUACACAGAACACCGAUUGCGAAGGCAGCUUGCUGGGCCAUUACUGACGCUGAUGCACGAAAGCGUGGGGAUCGAACAGGAUUAGAUACCCUGGUAGUCCACGCCGUAAACGAUGAUCACUCGCUGUUGGCGAUACACAGUCAGCGGCUAAGCAAAAGCAUUAAGUGAUCCACCUGGGGAGUACGGCCGCAAGGCUG
rnacentral:rRNA from 1 species